rnacentral:lncRNA from 1 species
CUGGGCUUCCAGACUCUUAUAGCUGUGGCCACUGUAAGGCCCGUGCUCCCCUUUCUGAGGCCAGCCUGGAGCUCACUGCAUCAGCUGGAGGCAGGACUAGCUUUUCCCGGAACAGGGGAGGAAGUGAUGGGGGAAGUUGGGCAUGGGGCUGGAUGGGAAGCCUGCCAGCUUCCGGGGCCACUCUGGUCAGCUUUCACACAGAGCCACGGUGGAUUCUCCGAAGAGCAGACUACUACACUAGUAUUCCCGACCAAGGCACCCAGGUCGAAGAAGGAGGCUACCCCAAGCAGGCACCAAGCAGCAGCUUGACUUCAGGUAACCCGAAAGAAUUGCUGAGCGUCCUGGGGUCAAGGGCACCAGCCGCCAAAGGGAAAAGCUUCCCUCUAUCUGGCAUUGUAAGCAGCUGCAGGAAGAGCUGGGCCUUUGCUGAGGCAGGCACGUGGAACUGAAAUGACCCCA